CCAUCAUCACCAUCAUCCUGACUAGUCUUUCAGGCGAUUGGUGCUGGAAGACACGCGGAUCUUCCAGUGGUGCAGAACGUAAAGAGAGCCCUCGGAAGAUCACUUCCGAGGGUUUUUUUAU
rfam:Serratia sp. ATCC 39006 ctg2, whole genome shotgun sequence.